GGUGGUGGUGGUGGGAGCUACUUGUCAGCCACACCAAAUUGGAUGGUGGUGUCCUACUCUAGUCAUGGGGGGCAAUUUGCAGAGGACAGGUAACUGGAGCAGAUCCCUGGAAGAGUUAAACCCGAAGGAAGAAGCCUGCAUACCAGAGAAUGCCAACAAUCAACUGCCAGCCGAAACAUCUGAACAGCCAGGCCCAGAUACCAACAGACAAAGAGAAAUGGAGUACUCCAGUCACCUAACAGUCAGGAAGAAUAACAAAGACAAACUAGUGAAAGACGAUAAAACACUUAGGAAGAAACCAGGAAGAAACGCCUUUCAGUUGCCACCUGCCUGCGCAAGAAACUAUAAGAGAACUGUAAGACCAACAAUAUUUUUAUGUUCUCACAAGACAAAUAAUUCAAAAAAUAAAACCCACCAUAGCCAAAACAAAAAACGUUGGGAUAUGAAACCAUUCCAAGUGACCUCCUGUGGAUCGAGAAAAUGUGAAGCCUGGGUUAGAAACUUAGAACAAGCUACAGCAGUUUUAGAAUUAAAUGUGGAGAAAAGAAAAGACCUUUGAGAUCGCAUCUAGAGCCAACAAGUUGUGUGCCAGUUGGCAGUUGAAAUAAAACAUUCAAGAUGUGGGAAAAAAAUAAAUUAUAAUGGUAUAGAAAAGUAGAACUAAUAGGUUCUCCUCUAGGAUUCAUAACCUUACCUGCUAUUGCCCUUGUCUUCCCCCAAGAACUUGAAGAAGGGAUGAUGCCUGUCUACAUUUACUCAGGCAAAUCUUGUGUUUUCAGGAAUCUACAGAUUUCAAAUGGUGUCACAUUCCCCAAAUAAUUUUACAAGCAGAAAUAUUGUUUAAGCAGCUACACAGACAUCCCUGAUGCCAGUCAAUUGACACUUGAAAUGAGGAGACUUUCAAUCCAUCAAUAAUCAUCCUGAAAUAAUCAUCAUGCUGCCGUGUUGUACCUGUGGUUUUACUGUAACACAGCAAUCAUCAUUGCAAUUUCAAGGUACAUUGUUUGGCAGAGGCAUUUACACCUUCAAGAAGAACUCUUCAUUCUCCUCUUUAAAGACUGAUGAAAGCUUGUUCUGGAAAACCUUCAAAAUCAGGAAAUAAAGCUUCGUAUGC